UGGGGUCUUGCUGACGUGGAAAGUAAUCCUCCAAAUCAACCUCAGAGUCGUUAUUCUGAACCAGAUAAUCGUGACUGGCGCCGUCCUGCACAGUUUUCUCCCUCUGGAGAGGAGAGAUCACGAGACAAUAGAGAGUAUGGUGGACGAUAUGAGUCCAGACAGGAUGCAAAUCAAUUUAAUCGCCAAGACCUCAAUCACCAAUUUUCAAGGGCACAAAUCUCGUCUAACCAAGGGGGACCAGCUCCUGUUUUGGUCAAGGCUGAGGUUCCAUGGUCGGCUAAAAGGGGAGGUCUCUCUGACAAGGAACGUGUCUUGAAGACUGUAAAGGGUAUUUUGAAUAAACUUACCCCUGAGAAAUUUGAUCUACUUAAGGGUCAACUCAUAGACUCUGGCAUCAC